AUGUGGCCCCAACCCUGCCUCCCUCCCGACCCUGUGAUGUUAGAAGAAACUUGUCAGAGCAAAUUGGGAGCAGCCAAGAAAAAGCUAAAAGACUAUCAGCAGAGGAACAGCCCUGGUGUUCUGGCAGGAGCGAAGAUGAAAAAGAAAAAAACUGGCAGUAGCCCUGAGAAAACCACUUCUGGUGGUUGCCACUCACCUGGGGAUAGCCGGAACCAAGAACAAGCAGUAGCCCUGGUCUCAAGCUCCACAACCAUCAAUCAACUCUAUGAAAACACAGAAUCAUUGAAACAAUAGACGAAACAAGUGGAACAUCAGCUAGAAGAAGAAAAGAAAGCAAACAAUGACAUACACAAAGCACAGACGGAGCAGUUAGAGACAAUCAACAUCCUCACGCUGGAAAAGGCAGACUUGAAGACCACCCUUUACCAUACUAAGCGUGCCGCCAGACACUUCGAAGAAGAGUCCAAGGAUCUGGCCGGCCGCCUGCAAUCCUCCUUACAGCGUAUUCAAGAAUUGGAGCGGGCUCUCUCUGCUGUGUGUACACAGCAGUGGGAAGAGGACAGGUCCUCGAGCCGCAGUGAAGCAGUCCUCCAGCGGCAGUUACGGCAGACCAGAAAGGAGCGGGCGCUGCUGAACGCACAUGUGACACAGUGAGGCUUUGUAACAGAGUCACUUAAACAAGUCCAGCUAGAGAGAGAUGAAUAUGCUCAACAUAUAAAAGGAGAGAGGGCCCGGUGGCAGGAGAGGAUGCGGAAAAUGUCGGUGGAGGCUCACACAUUGAAGGAGGAGAAGAAGCGUGACAUACAUCGGAUACAGGAGCUGGAGAGGAGCAUGUCUGAACUCAAAACCCAGAUGGCUGAGCCCCCAUCCCCAGCGCCCCCAGCAGGGCCCUCUGAGGUGGAGCAGCUACAAGAUGAGGCCAAACACCUGCGGAAGGAGGUGGAGAGUUUGGUGGGAAAACUCCAAUCCCAGGUGGAAAACAAUCAGGCCUUGAGUCUCCUGAGCAAGGAGCAAAAGGAGAGGCUUCGGGAGCAGGAGGAGAGGCUCCAGGAGCAGGAGGAGAGGCUGCAAAAGCAGGAGGAGAGGCUGCGAAAGGAGGAGGAGAAGCUGCGAAAGCAGGAGGAGAGGCUGUGGGAUCAGGAGGAGAGGCUAUGAAAGCAGGAGGAGAGACGCACACUCUCCCAGAACCACAAGCUCGACAGGCAGCUGGCCAAGCCACAGUGUGGCUUCAAGGAGCUGAACAACGAGAACAAGAGCGCUCUGCAGUUGGAGCAGCAAGUAAAGGAGCUGCAGGAGAAGCUGAGCAAGGAGCACCUAGAAGCUGCCAGCCAGUGGAACCAACAGCUAGAGACCCAGUUGAGCCUCAUGGCUCUCCCUGGACAAGGAGAUGGAGGAGGUCAUCUGGACAGUGAGGAGGAGACGGUGCCUCGGCCUAUGCCGAGCAUCCCAGAGGACCUGGAGAGCCAGGAAGCCACGAGUGGCUUUAUGGACCUCCGAAAGGAGAAGGUGGACAGGAGGGAGCAGGUGGAGAACCUAAAGCUUGGAUUCAUCCAGCUCUCUGGAGCAACAGACGGCAUGAGAGAGUACAUCACCGUAUAUGGGAGCCAAGGGGCAGUGCCAAACACGCGGCACCAGGAGAUGGAGGAUAUCAUCAGGCUGGACCAGAACGAGGAAGAAAUGAAGGUGAAUCUACUGGAGCUGCAGAAGCUGCUGUUGACACUUGUGGGUGACCAUGAGGGACAUGACAAAUUCCUCCCUGCUGCCCAGAACCCUGCUGAUGAGCCUGCUCCAGGGGCCCCAGCCCCCCAGGAGCUUGGGGCUGCCGAGGAGCAGCCUGAUUUUUAUGAGGUGAGCGUGGUGGACAGUGUGAAGCCUGCACCGGGACAGGCCAGGGAGGGUUCUCCCCAUGACAACCCCACUGCACAGAAGAUCGUGCAGCUGCUUCCUGUAAUGCAGGACACCCAGGAGCACCCAGGCUUGGCCAGCAAACCCUGCAUGACAUUCUUUUACCGGGCAGCAGAGAACAGGGAGAUAAACAUCAUCAUCAUCUAAGAGCUGGUCAAGAAAUUGAAAAAACAACAACCAAAAGUUAUGGGGUUAAUCUCCUACACAAUUCAUUUACUUCAUUUGAAUGUUAGAGCUCCUCAUGUUUAUUUAUGUUUCUAAUUUACAGUUUAAAUUUAUUUGUAGAAAGUUAAGGGAGAGUGGGUCUUUCCCUGAUGUUCACUCUGGC